CACGGAGCAAAGCUCCGACGAGUUUUCUUCCUUUUUCAGUAGGGGUAAGUCUCUAAUCUCUCACUCUCGUACCUAGCUAAAUGUUUGGUCGUGAUUUAUAAGCGUGAACCUUCCAUUUUUACGUAGGUUUUACCUUGGAAACGUUUUGGGUGAGCACACCCAUUUUUCCGGCGAACCCGUGCAUUCCGAGGGCUAUUCCGGUCACCUCCGACCGAGUUACGGUGUUUGGAAGGUAAAGUUGCUAUUAAGGAAAUUCGUAAUCCUGAUUCGCGCGAUUCUUCUGCUAAGGAAUAUUUGACUUAGAAUCAAGGCACCUAAUCCCGGCGUCAAGACACUUCCGCAGCAGCAUCUUCGGAUCUUCUC